UGCUUCUUCUUUCUUCACUGCAGCUUCUAUCGUCCUCUUCAUCUGUUUUUGCUUCUUCUACUUCCAUAUUCUGCUUCUACUUGUUGCGAUCGUCUACGUCGGUGUUAACUUGCUUCACCUCUCCUUCUUUCAAUCAAGACUUUCUUUGUCCCGAUGAGAAUUGGGGGAAUGAAAGAUUUAACCACCCACUAGGAAGUUCUUAGGAUAUAACGCACAAGGAGAGAAGUCUUUUAGGAAAAAAAAAUAAUAAUAAAGGUACGGGAAAGACUUCGAUUGUUUACAGAGAAGCGAAGAUAACCCGAAGCAACUGGAAAAACAUAGCCAACUUUGACCUAGAAACUGAGGUACGUUUAUCAAUUUAUCUGUCCUUCGUCAUGGUUUUUAAUUUCUUCUUAGAUCCACUUCCAUCUAUUCUCAUUCUUCGGGUACGAAAAAUCUUUUAUCAUAUUCAAGGAUUUUUCUCUCUAAUUAUCUCAAGUUAGAUUCAACAUUUUCGUUAGUUGCUGCUGCCUUUUCUGUUUCUAUAUUGCAUGAGACUGCACUCAUAUAAACAUAUAUAUAGAUAUAUUUUCUGCGUGUGUGUGUAUAUGUUUGUAUUUAUGUGUUUUUAGUCAUCAUUUAGUAACUUAUGGUAUUGUGGAUGUGUUAAAAAUAGAAGUUAAAAUUUUAAUUUUCCAGUUUUGUGGAUGCAUUAAGAGAACAAAUUGAAUGAAGAAUAUCAUAAAACUUCACUCACAAACCAAAGUACGGGGAAAAGAAUGAAAAA